GACCAGGGCUUGAACCCGUGUCCCCUGCAUUGGCAGGUGGAUUCUUAACCACUGCGCCACCAGGGAAGCCCCAAGCCGUUUUUUUUUAAUUGUCCCUUAAACAUUAUAUUGUCAGGCAUUGUAACCUUGUUUUGGUUUUACCCCCCUACUUCAAAAUGCAUUUCUUGUACUUUUGAUUAAUUCUGAUCAUACCAAUCUGUCAAAGCCCAGAAAGUCCUCGAUCCUCCCCAAAGUGCUCUCAGUACCACAGCUCUUACUGAUCCCUCUUGCUCCUCCCCCUCCUAUGACAUACCUAGUUCCUCUACCAUACAAUUUCACAAUUAGGUAUGCACUGUCUCCAAUGAUAGAGAACAGUUCUUUAUUCCUCCCUUGAAGACAUGAAUCAUAUUUUUGUCACCUCUUCCUCACCCCUGUUCUAAGCACAAAUUUUAAUAAAGUUGCUGGUCUUUAAGGAUAAAUUCACUGAGAAAAAUACUGAUAAACUUUUUUUUUUUUUCUGAUAAACUUUUAAUGGAUAAAAAGUCUACAUUCAAGUUGUAGCACCAGUUCUGCGACCCUGGACAAGUUCACUUCUCAGGAUGAAGUCUGUAAAAGCAAGACAGCUGGACUCAAUGACCUAACACUUCCUUCAGCCUUGAGCAAUACACAAGAGGGUGGCCUAGAGACCUCUGAGUGGCCAGUGAUGACCAGAAGUUGAAACUAAAGAGAAGGACAACUAAGAGAAAUUGAAGGGCAAGAAGGAGGAACAGAAGGGCAGCAGGAAAACAUCACCUUUGAGUAAUGAAAAGGAGCAAUGGAAAUUCACUGAGUCUUUACCAAGGGCCUACUAUGAGCCAGUCACUUGGGGCUGCAAAGGUGGUCGCUGACCUCAAGGGGCUAACAGUCCAAAGGUAACACCUCAAUUGUACUCCAACAAGAAAAUGCUGUUUUUGCAGCCUACUUUUAUGACGUCGAAGAAGCAACUCCAGAGAUGAAAGUGUAUUUCAGAUUUUUUUUAAAGGGACAAGAUCGAAUUCCAACCGCACUAGCCUGACAGCCCCAGACCCUGAAUUCAAGAGCCAUUCCAGCCUCUCGUCUGGCGCGUGACCUUGGGCAGGGCACUUCACCGCUCUGUGCCUCAGUUUCCUCAUCUGUAACGUGGGGCUAAGAAACCCCUCCCUCGCAUAGUCGUCGCAGGGUCCGGCCAGAGGGUACUCUUUGCGGCACCGG